CACGUGCCUACUAAAUAUUUGAAAAACGUGCAUUCAAGAGAGGCAUUUCUGGUGGCCCGGGAAUCCACAGCGUAACAUGGGCCUGCUGACCGGGACGGGGCAGCUGCCGCACUCAUCUCCUGACCCAGAGUUCCCACGCCCUGCAAUCUGUUCGGAAGAUCGUCUGCUCUUGCACAACAUCACUCUUCAAUGACUGAGAUUCGAGUGUGCUUUCUCCUCUGUUGCACCUGGCACAGUAGCAUAGGCACUUGGCACAAGCAAAUUGGGGGGCCAUUGCUUGACAAGGAUGCCAACACUGACCUCAUGUCCAGAGAGUGAACACCAAUGGCAGGUGGUGAAGACAGUCCUCUGGGCAGCCCGGAGGAACCAGCAAGGUGAUACAGAAGAAUUCACCAAGGACAUGAAUGAGGCGAUAACACUGAAAUGGCUACAAUUCACAGGAGGGAGCCUGCUCUCUCCACACGCCAUCACCCAGAAAACCCCUGUGAUGCAGACGUUCUUCUCUGUCGGGAGAAAGGCACCUGCCUCUGCUCGGGUUGUUGGGUCAUAAAUCUCCUCCUUCUGCGGCAGCUUUGGAGCCGCCCCCUCAGUCACUGAAGGGCCUCCCAGAAAGGGAAGUCCUGUUCCCUCCAGAUGGAAACCGCAUCUGUGGGAGGAGUCUUUUAACCCAGAAGGCCAACGACCAUGAGUUAGCAGAGCUGUGAACUGUAGGACCCCCUGGAGAAUGCCCUGGCCUCCAUUCCUGGAAGUUCAAAGCCGAAUUUCCUGAGCCGGAACCUCGUCACAGCUGAGUUCAGUUCUUAAAGGGUUGACAAGUGUUUCAGCAACCCUGAAGGGCCUUUCAGAUUCUGCUUAGCACC